ACGCUGGCGGCGUGCUUAACACAUGCAAGUCGAACGGUAAGGCCCUUCGGGGUACACGAGUGGCGAACGGGUGAGUAACACGUGGGUGAUCUGCCCUGCACUUCGGGAUAAGCUUGGGAAACUGGGUCUAAUACCGGAUAGGACCACGGUCUGCAUGGAUUGUGGUGGAAAGCUUUUGCGGUGUGGGAUGGGCCCGCGGCCUAUCAGCUUGUUGGUGGGGUGAUGGCCUACCAAGGCGACGACGGGUAGCCGGCCUGAGAGGGUGUCCGGCCACACUGGGACUGAGAUACGGCCCAGACUCCUACGGGAGGCAGCAGUGGGGAAUAUUGCACAAUGGGCGCAAGCCUGAUGCAGCGACGCCGCGUGGGGAUGACGGCCUUCGGGUUGUAAACCUCUUUCAGUAGGGACGAAGCGUAAGUGACGGUACCUAUAGAAGAAGCACCGGCCAACUACGUG
rnacentral:rRNA from 1 species